CCCUCAAUUGUACUUAUCCCUGCAGGGUAUCGAAGAAGAAUCAAAUUAAUCCGUAGAACGGGAUAGUUUGAAGAUCAAUGCUUGAUCUCUCAAGUAAAAUUAUGCCUGCAGUGCGUGUCCUACAUGCACCAUGGACUAACUAGGGCGAGUUGCAUUCGGUUUCUUCUAUUUUAAUUCAAUCACAUUUUGAACUGAACACAUUUUUUUCAGAAAGUAUAUGCCCACAAAAAAGUAUGUAAGAAAACAGGCGAAAAAUGUAUGUUUAAAAGGUCAGAUUGUGAUCGAAAGUCAAAAUAAUCAAAUUAAUCCGUGGAACUGGAGAUCAAUAUGGUUAUUGCUUGAUUCACAGAAAUUUGAUUGGAGAGAUUGAUUCAUAAAUUCUUUAUUUCAGGAAAUACUUGAUAGCCUAACUACUGACACAGUCAUUAUAAAGAUAGAUGUAGAAGGAUCAGAGUGUGUGGCUCUUACACCUUAUUUGACGCAGUCUGAAAAG